rnacentral:rRNA from 1 species
UCACUUUCAACAACGGAUCUCUUGGUUCUCGCAUCGAUGAAGAACGUAGCGAAGUGCGAUAAGUAGUGUGAAUUGCAGAAUUCCGUGAAUCAUCGAAUCUUUGAACGCAAAUUGCACUCCCUGGUAUUCCGGGGAGUAUGCCUGUUUGAGGGUCAGUC